CCUACGGGUGGCUGCAGUGGGGAAUCUUGCGCAAUGGGCGGAAGCCUGACGCAGCGACGCCGCGUGCGGGACGAAGGCCUUCGGGUCGUAAACCGCUUUCAGCAGGGACGAGGCCCUCACGGUGACGGUACCUGCAGAAGAAGCCCCGGCUAAAUACGUGCCAGCAGCCGCGGUAAUACGUAGGGGGCGAGCGUUAUCCGGAUUCAUUGGGCGUAAAGCGCGCGUAGGCUGUGAGGUAAGUCAGCGGUGAAAUGCCCCCGCUCAACGGGGUGAAGUGCCAUUGAUACUGCCUUGCUGGAAUGCGGAGGCCGUGGGAGGAAGGUGUGGUGUAGCGGGGAAAUGCAUAGAUAUCACACAGAACACCGAUUGCGAAGGCAUCUCACGAAGCCGCGAUUGACGCUGAUGCACGAAAGCGUGGGUAUCAAACAGGAUUAGAUACCCUGUAGUC
rnacentral:rRNA from 1 species